rnacentral:rRNA from 1 species
UCGUUAACGAACGAGACCUCGGCCUGCUAAAUAGUUCGGUGAAUCCUUCGGAUUCGUUUGUAACUUCUUAGAGGGACUAUCGGUGAUUUAGCCGAUGGAAGUUCGAGGCAAUAACAGGUCUGUGAUGCCCUUAGAUGUUCUGGGCCGCACGCGCGCUACACUGAUACGAGCAUCGAGCUUACAACCUUGGUUGAGAGGCCUGGGUAAUCUUUUUAAACCGUAUCGUGCUGGGGAUAGAUUAUUGUAAUUUUUAAUCUUCAACGAGGAAUUCCUAGUAAACGCUGGUCAUCAACCAGCAUUGAUUACGUCCCUGCCCUUUGUACACACCGCCCGUCGCUAAUACCGAUUGAAUGGUUA